UCUCCUGAAGCAGGAAGUUGAGCUCGGAGGUGAGGCGUGUUGAGGCGAGAAAUUCCCAGCCCAGGGCGGGUUGUGGAAUCUUUGGGAGGUGGGUUCUCGCUGGAAGCAUGGAACUAGGGAGGGCCUAUAUACACCUCAGCGUGAAGGAGCCACACCGGGAGCUCUUGCCACGGAUGGAGCCACCCCCGCCAUAUGCCUUCUCCCCAUGUGGUAUUCCCUGAAACUCUGAUCCCUAAAGCCACAGAAUGGUGACUGGGCUGCUCCCAGGAACUCUGAUGACCACCCUGAAUCAAGCCCAUCUCUAAAUGUCCAGCCAAACCGUAAGCUGGGCAAGCAAGAGGAGAGAACCCCUUACUCCCACGGACACUUUCAGCGGAGCCGACCUCCUCCUUAGUUGGCCCGUGUCUGCAGAGGCACGUGGUGCUUCUGACGGCAUGGCAGAUGCCGAAGGGCUGGGAUGAAGGGUCCAAGCAUGGUUGGCGACCACAGGAUGCUGAUGCUGUGGACUUGUGCUGAGCCUGACCUGGGCAGGAUGGCAGGCACCUGGACACAGUGGCUGUGUGGAGCUCUCUGUCUGAGGCCCCUCUCUUGGGAUUUCCUAGAGGUGAUGGGCUCUUGUCUGGGUAAAUACAGGGGCUCAAGGAGGAGAUAUGAAAGUUGGUCCAUCUCAGUGCACACAGGGCUAGCUCUACAGAGUGCUGCUGAAAAGUCCUUUCCCCACAGGGCAAUACAGUUUAGAACCGGACAGCUGGGCACCUUUCUGCUCAUGAGAAUACACUGAGAUUUCUAGCCAAGGAACCUUCUAAGCUGAGUCUGCCAUCACAGUGGCAGGGGGGUCAACAGCCCAAGCCACAGGGCACUGCUGUGGCCUCCGGCUAGAGCAGGUCUGAAUCGUAAAGGCACAGACCUGUAGGGUUUUUACUUGAAACUCUGCCUGGGGCUGAGGCUGAACUUGAGCCCCAGACACAUCUCCAGCCCACUCCUUGGGUCCCGCCUGAACAUGGUCCAGCUCACUGAAGCCUCUGCCACUUGGAGAAGAAAAAGCUUUCACGGGGUUUGGUUCUGCUGAGGCUGUCGCCUCUGGGCAGCUCCAGCACCAGCUCAUCUCCAGGUUCUCCUCACCCCAGGGCAGGUCCCUGCUCAUCCAGACUCCCUCAUGGUAGAAUGACAGCUCUCACAGCCUAACUUCUAGACCUUGUAUCGGUUGCUAAGAGCGACUCUGCAGCUGGGAUGAAGGACUUCAAGGCAGAUGAUCCUGGAUUAUCUGAGGGGUACAAGGGAACACAGGGUCCCUUUCAAAGAAAGACAGUGAUGGACACAGAAGGCCUGAGCCAAAUGUCAUGGUGUAGCUCUGCCCUGAAGGUGCACUCAGACUUGCCAAUGGGAGCUCGUUUGGACCAGCCCUGCCUGUAGCUUGGCUAUCUUGCUGUCAGGCUUAGGGCCACACAUCUAUUUGUUGAGCUAUCUCACCAGCUUUUUUUUUUUUGGCUGGUGAAAGGUGCUGGGCUGAUAGUCUAGGACGUCUAGUGUGCUAAGCAAGCAUCUGCUGCCAAGCCACACCCUGGUCCUGAACAUUGUCUAAAGCCAGAGUUUGUGCCAGUGUGUUCCAGCAGUGUGGGCAGAUAACAGGUGGCCCUGACUUCUUCAAGCUGCCUGUCCCAUGUGUGUCUGUGCGUGGGGGGAAUACUCCAUUCCGAUACCUCCUGCAGUGGUAUGGGUGGAUGCUUCAGAGUGCUGCGGGCCUUGCAGGGGUGGGGGCCCAUACCUGGGAUGGGAAGGGUUGAUCUUUCAGGGACCACAGGAAAAAAGGAGAUGGGCUAGUAUCUGAGUGCCUUGAGUCUCACAGACCCACCAUAGAGAUCUGCCCCGCUGGGUGGCAUGCCCAGGGAAAGGCCACCCGUGCUUGUCAGAAUAGGGCACUUUGGUUUUCCUUCCUUAAGGAAGAAAGAGUGCUGAGAACAAGGCAUACAUUGGGCAGCACCCAACUUCUGUGAGCUGGAUAGCCGCUCACACACAGGUGAUACCCAGAAAAACCCCCAAGCACAUGGGACCUGAUGACUUGACUAUUUCAGGAAAGGUCGUGAAUGGCCUCCCAGUCUGCGUCUGAAAGAUUUGGUGGCUCUUUGCCUCCCCCUCCCCACUUCUGGCCUUUGUGUACUGACUCCCCACUCCUACCUGAGUGGCAGGGAGUUACUUCACAGCUGCCCUG